rnacentral:rRNA from 1 species
GACGGGUGAGUACACGUAGGUACCUGCCCCUCAGACGGNGAUAGGACUGGAGACGGGCGCUANUACCCGGAUGACUUAGUUGGGGAAGCACCGGCUAAGGAAAGGCUUUGGCGCUUGAGGAGGGGCCUGCGGCCCAUCAGUUAGUUGGUAGGGUAACGGGCUACCAAGGCGAAGACGGGUAGGGGGUGUGAGAGCACGGGCCCCCACACUGGGACUGAGACACGGGCGAGACGCGGGGANCAGGCAGCAGCGGGGAAUAUAGCGCAAUGGACGCAAGUCAGACGCAGCUAUGCCGCGUGGGUGAAGAAGGCCUUCGGGUUGUAAAGCCCUUUUCUGUGGGAAGAGGAAGGACGGUACCAUAGGAAUAAGCGUCGGCUAACUACGUGCCAGCAGCCGCGGUAAGACGUAGGACGCGAGCGUUAUCCGGAUUUACUGGGCGUAAAGCGUGUGUAGGCGGCGUGACAAGUUGGGCGUGAAAGCCCCAUGCUCAACGCGGGGAGGCCGCACAAUACUGUCAGGCUAGAGGGCAUCAGAGGGGUGUGGAAUUCCCGGAGUAGCGGUAAAAUGCGCAGAUAUCGGGAGGAACACCGGUGGCGAAAGCGGUACCCUGGGGUGCACCUGACGCUGAGA